AGUCACAGUAUUCGUCCCUGAAGCCACGAAUUUCGUAUUGGUACGUUUCGUACCAUACGGAAUUCGUAUGAGUAUCGUACGGUUCCAAUUCGCGAAUUGCAGACAUUAAUUCAGCGUAUAAUACGUAUUAGGGUUUGGAAACGGCGCGUAUGAAUAGAAUUGGCGGGAUUAUAAAAAAGCGGGAGACACAGAGAAUACGAAUGGACGUUUCCGUAAUUCUGAUCAAUUACCAAAACCCAGAAACCCAUAAUCAUCUUUAUAUAUAUACUGAUUUCUUACUCAA